CGGAGCAGCGGCGCGGGAGGUUCCCCAGGAAGCCUUUCCUUUCCACUGUGGUUUUGGGAGCAUGAAGGUGUUGCUUACUCCUUUUGUCUGGUUCACUGUGUGUAAGAUGGGAGUGUCUGCUGAUGGCUUGGAGUGCUGUCUGCUAGAAUAGGAAGAAUAAAAUUAAGGUAAGACUCAGUCUAUUUGAAAUUCCUUGCCUCUUAAUUUUUACUGCAUAAAUUAUAUUUGAAUGCUUUUUUUUCUUUAAUUGUUAAACUCCAUUCUGAUCUAGUUAAAUGAAAUUCUUGCCUUUGCUCUCUCUCUCUCUAUUUUGGCCAGAAAAAAAGGAAGAAAUUUAAAAUCAAGGCAUUUAGCUAAUAAAUUAUUUGAAGUAUCUCUUAGUAUCCAUCUGGAAAAUCACUUGAUCAAAUAAAAUAAAAACAGCUUUAAUUGUUGCUUUGAAGGCAAGGUGAUUGCUGAAAAAUGUUUUUGACCACCUUUUAGUCAGAUGGAGCCACCUCAGAAACUCCUGGAAAGAAGGCUUAGGGUGUUUGAUUUCUUUGGAGUCAUCCCAUUGCUACCUCUUGCUUGCUUUUUGACCUGCAUAAGCUCUUAACCUCUCUGCACCUUGUUUUUCAAUUUUUUUUUUUCAGUGUGUAAAAUGGAGCUAAUACAACCUUUACAGGUUGUAGUGGGGACUGGUGGUGAUGAAGACCUAGUGCUUCAUGGGUGGUUAGUAAUUGCUGUUAGUAGUAGUGUAUAUCAUUAUGUAGAGUGUACUUUACUUUUCUUUCUUUUUUUUUUUUUUGUCUUUUUGCCAUUUCUAGGGCCGCUUCUGCGGCAUAUGGAAUUUCCCAGGCUGGGGUUGAAUCGGAGCUAUAGCCACCGGCCUACGCCAGAGCCACAGCAAUGUGGGAUCCGAGCCACAUCUGCAACCUACACCACAGCUCACGGUUAACCCACUGAGCAAGGCCAGGGAUCGAACCUGCAACCUCGUGGUUCCUAGAUGGAUUCGUUAACCACUGCACCACGACGGGAACUCCUAGAGUGUACUUUUCUCAGUAGUAUCAGUAAUAGGAGUGUGGCUGGCUGCUAUUCAUGGAUGAGAGGUUCAGUUUCCUUGACUUGUAAAGAAGGCAGCCUUCUGUGUGUACCUUUUGGCACAAUGGACAGGUGAGAGUAUUGUUGAGGUAGUCUACCCAGGACUGGUGGGCAGGAGUCCACAUUAUAAAGUCCAAGGUGACUCCUGGCACUGGUAGGUUUUUUUUUCCUGGCAGUUUCUAUGGGGAAGCCAGGAGGUAACUGUUUGGUAUGUCUUUGUUUUGGGAACAGUGGGCAUUCCCAGUGACACUGCUAGAGUAUGCCAGGCAGCAUCAUGUAUUGUGUGGCCCCUGAUGAGGAUAUUUCUCUAGUUUUUUUUCUGUUGGCAUCAGAUACCUGACUUUAGUCUUUUUGCCUGGAAGGCUCCAGAUGCUGGAGAGAUUUGUCAUCUUUCUCUAAUUUGGGCUAGUUUGAUAGAAUCUAGCACUCUGUUCAGAAAUGUUUCUGAUGAACAGAAGGUUCACAGGCUUUGUUAUAGAAUUGUUCAGUUUUAUUUUUUCCCUGUGAGAGGGGAAAAAAAAAGUCAAGAGAAAAUAAGUAUGAGCCAGACAGAAAUGAUUCAAAAUAACUGGCCCUAAAUCUCUUCUAGUCUUAGUCAAAUCCCCCCUUCAUUCUGGGUGGUUAUUAACUCCAGGUAAAAGUAUAAUAUUGGAGUUCUCACUGUGGUGUAGCAGAUGAAGAAUCUGACUGCAGUGUCUCAGGUUGAUACAGAGGUGUGGGCAGAUUUGAUCCCUGGUCCAGCAUAGUAGGUUAAAGAAUCCAUUGUUGCUGCACUUCUGGCAUAGGUCACAGCAGCUGCUCGGAUUCAAUCCCUGGUCUGAGAACUUCCAUAUGCUGCAGUUGUGGCCAUUAAAAAAAAAAAAAAGGGGGUUCCCUGGUGGCCUAGUGGGUUAAGGAUCCAGCAUUGUUGCUGCUGUGCCUCAGGUCCCUGCUGUGGCAUGGGUUCAGUCCCUGACCUGGGAACUUCCUCAUGUUCUGGGCAUGGCAAAAAAAAAAAAAAAAAAA
ensembl:lncRNA